rnacentral:ncRNA from 1 species
AACUCUAUUCAGUCGUGAGGGGAUAUUGAUUACUUGCGUUAUUAGUACACGAGCUGAAGUUUGGUGUGAGGAUGCGUAGAGUGUUUAAAAAAAUAUUUUGUAACUAAAAGUUUAAUUUUAGGUAUAAACUUAAUAUAUUCUUUUAGACAAAUGUAAAUUUUGAAAUUUUAAUAAAUAAUUUUGCAAUGUUUAAUAUUAAUUAAUAAAAUAAAUUUUGAGUUAGAAAUAGAAUUAAUUAUUAACAAUAUUUGUGCCAGCAGUUGCGGUUAUACAAAUAAUAAUUUUAAGAUAUUUAGAUUGAAGUUAAAUUGUAAUUUUUUUAAAAAUUAUUAUUAUAAGGUGAAAUUUUAAUUAUAAAAAUAUAAAAUUUAUUAAAAUUGAUGCUUUGAAAUUUUAAUUGAAAACUAGGAUUAGAUACCCUAUUAUUUAAAAUGUAAUUUAAUAUCUAUAUUAUUAUAAGUGAUGAUCUUUAAAGUAAAAAAUUUUGGCGGUAUUUUAAUCUUUUCAGAGGAACCUGUUAUAUAAAUGAUAAUCCACGAUUUUAUUUACUUAAUUUAUUAAUUUGUAUAUCAUCGUAAAUAAAAAUUUUAAAAGAAUUAAUUUUUUAAAUAUCAUUUUAUAUUAAUUCAGAUCAAGAUGCAGUUUAUAUUUAAGAAAUAAUGGGUUACAAUAAAUAUAUUUAUAUGAAUUUUUAUUUAUUAAGUAAAUUGAAAGUGGAUUUGAAAGUAAAAUAUUUAAAUUAAAAUAUUUGAUCUAGCUCUAAAAUAUGUACAUAUUGCCCGUCGCUUUCAUUAAAAUGAAAUAAGUCGUAACAAAGUAGACUUACUGGAAAGUGUGCCUAGAUAUU